rnacentral:misc_RNA from 1 species
AAAGUCGUAACAAGGUUUCCGUAGGUGAACCUGCGGAAGGAUCAUUACAGAGUUCAUGCCCUCACGGGUAGAUCUCCCACCCUUGAAUAUAUUACCUUUGUUGCUUUGGCGGGCCGCUCCGUCCACUGGCUUUGGCUAGUGAGUGCCCGCCAGAGGACCCAAAACUCUGAUUUAUAGUGUUGUCCGAGUACUAUAUAAUAGUUAAACCUUUCAACAACGGAUCUCUUGGUUCUG